GGAGAGUUGACAGAGCGGCCGAAUGUGGCGGUCUUGAAAACCGCUGUGCAGUAACCCUGCACCAAGGGUUCAAAUCCCUUACUCUCCGCAA
rnacentral:tRNA from 1 species